UUAGACGCUGGCGGCAGGCCUAACACAUGCAAGUCGAGCGGUAACACAGGAGAGCUUGCUCUCGGGUGACGAGCGGCGGACGGGUGAGUAAUGUCUGGGAAACUGCCUGAUGGAGGGGGAUAACUACUGGAAACGGUAGCUAAUACCGCAUAACGUCGCAAGACCAAAGAGGGGGACCUUCGGGCCUCUUGCCAUCAGAUGUGCCCAGAUGGGAUUAGCUAGUAGGUGGGGUAACGGCUCACCUAGGCGACGAUCCCUAGCUGGUCUGAGAGGAUGACCAGCCACACUGGAACUGAGACACGGUCCAGACUCCUACGGGAGGCAGCAGUGGGGAAUAUUGCACAAUGGGCGCAAGCCUGAUGCAGCCAUGCCGCGUGUAUGAAGAAGGCCUUCGGGUUGUAAAGUACUUUCAGCGGGGAGGAAGGCGAUAAGGUUAAUAACCUUGUCGAUUGACGUUACCCGCAGAAGAAGCACCGGCUAACUCCGUGCCAGCCGCCGCGGUAA
rnacentral:rRNA from 1 species